rnacentral:lncRNA from 1 species
GGGAGGCAACUGAAUCAUGAGGGCUGGUCUUUCCCAUAUUAUUCUUGUUACAGUGAAUAAGUCUCAUGAGAUCUGAUGGGUUUAUCAGGGGUUUCUGCUUUUGCUUCUUUCUCAUUUUCUCUUGCCACUGCCAUGUAAGAAGUACCUUUUGCCUCCCGCCAUGAUUCUGAGGCCUCCCCAGCCAUGUGGAACUUCAACAGAACAGAUGAAGAGAACUCAGAAUUACAAAAUUUGUUUCCAACUCCACUACACCCAUUUUUGGAAGAUCUGUUUUGAAUCCACGUUUCCAAGGAUGAUUUAGAAAAAGACAGCAAACUGAACAAAGCCCUGAGGAAAUAUUAACAAGUACAACCUUUCCCUGGAAGCAAUACACAUUUUCCUGGUGCCUGUUUAUUGUCACCUUUAUCUCCUUACUUGGGCUUGACAGCAAGUGGUGAACCAGGAUUUAUCUUGUUGAGGCUCAAAGCUUUAGUGGUGUUGUCAUUCGCCAGUAGCUCUGGUUCCUCUCAGCAAAAACAGUGGAAAACACUUUUAAUUGUAAAAUACAUUAUGUUUAACUUCCACUAAAAAAAAAAGAUGGUGAAGGAAAAAGUUUUUUGUGUUUUUAUUUUGUAGAUCAAAACCUAGUAUUUAUUUUGGAAAGAUGGGUACAGUUAUUUUUUCCCCAUGUUUGUUCUAUUCCCUUUAAGCUUCUAAAGGAACAAACAAAAAAUAGCUUAACUGAAACUAACAAAGGAUGAUGAAACACUUUUAAGUCUUCAAAAAGGUAAUAUUGGAUACUUGCAAUUGCUAGCAAUAUUUGGAGUUAAGGGAUAAUGUUUAAAACUCAACUGAACUUUCUUUACAGUUGUAAGGAUUUCUAAGAGUGAGAUUCUAGGCCC